GGGCGGGUAGCUCAGUUGGUUAGAGCACUUGCCUUACAAGCAAGGGGUCACAGGUUCGAGUCCUGUUCCGCCCACCA
rnacentral:tRNA from 5 species